rnacentral:rRNA from 1 species
GAAAACCAGCAAGUGGGUCCAAAGGAAUUGCAGAAGAACAUCAAAGAUAAGUUCAAGAUAGAUUUACCAUACAUGAGGUUGUUCAAUGGUAAACAACAUGCUAUGGAUUCUAUUUAUGGUAACUGGCAGGAAAGUUUUCAAUUGUUGUAUUCAUUCAAAGGUGAAGUGGAGAGGACAAGCCCAGGUAGUAUUGUAAAUAUUGAUCACCACACCGUGGAGUACACAUUCAGGGGAGUGACAAAGACCAAGGAAUGUUUUAGAAGGAUUUUUGUCUGCUUUGAGGCUUGUCGCCGGGGUUUUUUAGCAGGCUGCAGGCCUUAUUUGGCUAUUGAUGCCACUUUUCUCACAGGAAGGUUUAAAGGACAGUUAGUAGCAGCUUGUGCAGUUGAUGCACAUAGUUUUGUAUUUCCAGUUGCCUAUGGUGUGCUAGAGACAGAGUCUGAGGAGAGCUGGACUUGGUUUUUGCAUAAUCUCCGCCGGGCUAUUGCACAUCCCAAUGGGUUGGUCAUUCAUACAGAUGCCUGCAAAGGUUUAGAAGUGGCCGUGGACAAUGUGUUCCCUGGAGUAGAGCAUAGGGAAUGCAUGCGUCACCUUGCUGCAAAUUUCAUGAAGAAAUUCAAAGGAAAGGUGUAUACCGACAAUUUAUGGCCAGCAUCUUUGACAUGCAGUGUGAAGAAGCACAACUACCACUUGAGGCAGUUAUACAUGAAUCCCAAAGUGAAAGAAUACUUGGAAACACACCACUCCAAGUUAUGGGCUAGAAGCCAAUUCAGUGAAGUGAGCAAAGUUGACUAUGUGCACAAUAAUCUAGCAGAGUCUUUCAACUCAACGAUCCGAAAA